rnacentral:rRNA from 1 species
UGCAAGUCGAACGGGAAAGUGGAGCAAUCCAUGAGUACAGUGGCGUACGGGUGAGUAACACGUGGGUAUCUAACUCUUAGUGGGGAAUAACCCAGGGAAACCGGGGCUAAUACCGCAUAAGCUCGAGAGAGGAAAGCAGCAAUGCGCUGAGAGAGGAGCCCGCGGCCGAUUAGCUAGUUGGUAGGGUAAAGGCCUACCAAGGCAGAGAUCGGUAGCCGGCCUGAGAGGGCACACGGCCACACUGGCACUGAAACACGGGCCAGACUCCUACGGGA